rnacentral:misc_RNA from 1 species
CGACUCGGUAAUGGAAAGGGGUCCGGCGCACAUCACGGGUCACUGUAUGCAUCUGAAAAAGUUCGAAAUUCAAACCCGUGAAUGGAAUAAAACUUACCAUAUAUAUGAGCCGUCCACAGGCGCAUCGUUUUCUCAGGGAAGGUUUAGGAGAAUGAACGAGAGUCCAUCAGCAUCUUCGUCCAUGGCCAGGAGCUGUAAGCUUCCAGUUACUAGGCAUUUCUUCAAGGUUAUGAUGACUGGUUUCCGAUCCCAACUCUCUCUUCCUGUGGCUUUCUGCCGACAGCUGAGGGGGAAGAGAUUGGAUAAGGCAGUAGUGAGAAGUUCCCAGGGGUCAUGGCAUAUCAAAGUUGGUAAAUGCCGCAAAGGGUUGUUGUACUUUGAACAAGGCUGGGAAAAUUUUGUGAAGCACCAUGACCUCAAUCUUGGAGAUUUCGUGGUAUUCGAACAUAAGGGAGACAUGGUUUUCGAUGCCAUAGUGUUCGAUCCAAGCUCGUGUGAGAAAGAGCUUCCUGUUUCCAUCAAUUUCUCUGAGAAGAACAGGAAGAAGAAUUCAUCUGAUGAAGUUGAGAGCAGUUAUGACAAGACGGGGAAAGGGAAUUUCAAAGAGCAACGCCUGCUUGAAGAUGCUAAAUCCUACUCUCCGAAGGGUCCUCAUUUCAUAACAACCAUAACAACAUCUAACGGAGCAGAUGAUGGAUCAUAUCUGGAUAUCCCUGCAGAAUUCGCAAGCUCAAAUAACAUUAUUCGAGCAUCCAUCGUGGUUCUCCGGAACCCCUCGAGAAAAUUAUGGGCAGUGAAGCUUUGCAGUGUUGAUUCCGAAUGUGGGAGGAAGGCUGAGUCGAGACGUGUAUUAAUGGGAAAAGGAUGGCGUGACUUUUAUGUCGCCAAUAAGCUGAAGGAAGGAGACGUCUGCCUGUUUGAGCUCGAUCUCACCGGAAAAAGAUCUGAUGUUGUGGUGAUGGCCGUGCAUAUUUUUCCUUUGGUGAACUGAGCAGUUCUUUCUUUGAUCGUUUUGUUGGGUCUUGUUGGCUAAAGAUGCUUUCUUUUUUCUGUUUUAGAGAUUCUUGAGCAUUUAUCUGCAGCUCUUC